CACACACACACACACACAAAUAGAUAUGCGUGAUCAGUCGACACAUUUCAGUGUGAUUUUUAACCAAUCCCAAUUGUUGGAAACGGCUCUUUGACAAUGGUCAUGUUUUGGGGGGGUCCCGAAAAGAGAUCAUUUUCGAGGGAUUCCACCUGACGUGAGCGAUAUUCAAAUAUCACUGUUCUCGCUCAAUACUGCAAUGAUUCUGAUCAUCUAUUCUCUCUUACUUCCAAAUAGGAUCCAGGUUUUCAAUCUUUGCUUUUGUUGCUUCUUCUUGUAAAUAUACUUUUUUUUUUGGUGCAAAAAGUCUUGCAAAGCCAUGAGUUGUCAGUCGGAUGUUUUUGUGUUCAUUUGUGGGUUUUAUUAUUCUUAUUGGAAGAGCACCAUUGUGUUUUAUUUACGACUUUUGCGCAUUUGUGAUUUGUAUGUUCACCCAAAGACGUUUUUUUUUGGAUAAACUCAUGUCCCAAAAGUUUGUUUACUUGAGUACGUGUUCACCGACUUCUGUCUACGCCGUGACCACUUCGCUCUUAGGCCUUUGGUGCCAUUUUGAUUCCACUCCCAAUAUGAGGAGCCCGUAGUCGCUUUAGUCAAACGUGCAACGUUCUUCUCGUCAUGAAGCACGGAGUCAGGCUUUGGAUAACUUAUGGUGUUCCCUGUCGGGUUGCAGCUGGCUCAAGCACAAUAUGUGUUUUUCAUGGCGCGCCUUGUCAGUUCGCAACUAAUUUACUACGUUAUGUUACUCUUGUCUUGAUGUGCCUGGUCGGGAUGUGGCUGAUGUCAUGUUCUCAUGAUGCACCUUGUUGGGUUGUGGCCAUCUUGUUUUAUUCAAGUCAUGAUCCGCUUUGUUGGUAUGUGACUGACUUACUCUGUGAUGUUCUCGUCAGGAUGUGCGCCGUCAGGUUGCGGGUAACCUAAAUUCUUCUAGUCGUCGUGCGCCUUGUCGGGUUGGGGAGAAUACCAUGUUUGGUUCUGCUCCUUGUUGGGUUGCAGCCGAUUUGCUACGCUGAGUUGGUAAUGAGGCGCCGUGUCGGGUUGGAGCUAACUUCCUUCUUUAGGUUCUUGUCAUUAUCAUGCCAUGCCUAGUUAGGUUGCGGCUCGUUGACCACGCUGUGGUACUUCAUGUUGCGCCUUGAUGAGUUGCGAUUUACUGCGUUAGGCUCCUUUUGUCAUGAUGCGCUUUAUAAGCUUAUGGCUAACUUAUUGCCGUCUUCUCAUCAUGAGGCGCCUUGUCGGGUUGUAGAUAAUGUACGCUAUAUUUUCUCGGGUUGCGGAUCAUUUAACGUUACAAUCAAUCUAGUUGGGUUGUGACUGAAUCACUACAUCAUGUUCUCUUCAUGAUGCGCGGUGUUUGGAUGCGGCUAACUUGCUAGGUUAGCUUCCUUUUUCCCUCUCCGCUACUAGCUUACUUUUUACCUUAUUGUCGCAAUACGCUUUGUCAUGUGGAUAACUUAUGACAUUAUUUUCUUCUCUUCGGGUUGCGGCAAACUCACAUUAUAGGCAGUUUGCUUCCCAGCACCUAAAUUUCACGUUAAAGUUACCAAUCAAGCAUUUAAGCAUUACUUAGCUAUCACAUUGGAAUGGAUGUCUCCAAGGGAACGUGCUGUAAAUACUUUGCCUUUUUUUUCCUUCUAAAUUGUACUAAUACAUUUACACUCCUUCCUCAGGCAUCUUUUUUUUUUACCUGUGAAUAUAACCAUUACUUGUGCAAUAUUUAUUCUCCAAUUUUGGUGGCAUCUCUUCACUGAACUUUUUAAAGUGCUCAAGCGGUGGCAUAGAAAACCAAGAGAACGACAUCGGAACCCAUAGGAGUAAUGUAGAGAGACACUGAAAAGCAUGUGUAUGUAAGUGUGUUACUUUGCUUUUGUUUGGAUUGAAGACUUGAAGGGAUGGGCCAUCAUAACUGAUGAAUUUAUGGGUAAAGAAUUCUGUUGGUACGUGAAAAGAAAUCUUAAUCAACACCGCUUAAUUUUUCAGAGUUCUGAAAAAUCUAUUGUCCCAUUGAAAUUAUAUUUCAAAAAAAUAAAUUAAAUCCCCCUCAAUCAAACAUCGAUGCCCAUCCUGAGUAGACGGCGAAUAUUGACGUACGUAGCAUGUGCGCAACUGAAUGUGAGGAAAUGAACACAGGCCUGUGGAAAGCCGUUAGAGAGUGUAUCCCAUAUGACUGUUCUGUUUCACACUCCUGCACAACUUUGGCAUUACCAGUCGGCCAUUUGCAGGUUAGUCUUGACGCAAAACUGCACUAGUUGACAUCGUGUCACUACUAGUACAUUUCCCGUCUAAUUUGUAACCUCACGAAUAAUACGAGUAACACGCAGGUGUCAACUAGUGCGCAGUUUUUCCUCGUUCAUGGCAUGUCUUACUAUGUCAAAGUUGAUCUAGUGAGGACAGAGAGGGGACUAGUAUACACUCAAUCGGGCUUUCCAUACACUCCUUGAUAUUACAGAAUUAAUUUCACUUGUGUGUGUUUUUUUUUUUUGUUUUUUUUUACAGAUUUCAUGUAACAUUGAUAAUAUGUGAUGCAGUAAAUGCAUACAUGAGGUUCUGAAAAAAUGAAAUUUUAUUUCAUGUACAUUAUUUACUGCAGUUUUUUGUGGCAUAAAGCCAAGGAACAAAAAAAAAAUGUAUUGAGAUCAUGGAAUGAAUUUCUGACAUUUUAGCACCCAGGAAUGCAACUUAUGUUUUCAUAUAUUUGCGUCUAUAUUCUUGUUGCCUUCUGACACGUGAGCUUGUCUUUGGGGCUCCUAUGAAUGUGACAUCAGAAGUCCAAUUUCUUUUCAAGCUCACGUUCUUUAUAAGUACAUUUUAUGUCGAAUAAAAAUGUGUGUACGUACACACGUGAAGACUCUCCACUAACAACCCAGGCUAAACUUAGCUCCAUCCCUCUGCGCAACUCUCAAUUGAGAUGUAAGACUUAGUGAAAAUAGGAGGUCAAUAACAAGUAAAAGAGCAAUUGAUGCCCACCCCAAAAAUUGAUUCUCUAUAAUGGCCUCGCAUUGUCAGCAAAGUACUAAAUGAAGCGCCUUGAUUCACUGAAAAUUGUUUCAUUGUCACCGAGGUGGCCGCAUCUUGGAGUGUUAGAGAAAGAGUCCCAAAAAUAUAACGAGUUCAAUUUUCAGUGUAUAAUGGAGCAUUGAUUUUAAAAAAUAAUUUAUGAAUAAUGAAUAAGCAGAUGAUUGCUGUACAGGAUUUAAUAGUCAUCUUAAUGUCUGGGGGCAGGGAAGGGGUCCCCUCAAACAAGUGUCUCCUUCCUUAUUUCUGUGAUUUGGCUUUGAAUGUUAUGGAAUAAAAUAUUUCAAAGUUUGUGGCGUAAA